UAUGGCCAUAUCAUUUUAAAAUACCAUGUCCCGUACGAUCACCGAAGUUAAGAAACGUCGAUACUGGUCAGUAUGUUGAUGGGUGACAGCUUGGGAAUACUAGGUGGUGUA